AGAGUUUGAUCCUGGCUCAGAUUGAACGCUAGCGGGAUGCUUUACACAUGCAAGUCGGACGGCAGCACGAAGAGCUUGCUCUUUGGUGGCGAGUGGCGAACGGGUGAGUAAUGUAUCGGAACGUGCCCAGUAGCGGGGGAUAACUACGCGAAGGCGUGGCUAAUACCGCAUACGCCCUACGGGGGAAAGGGGGGGAUCGCAAGACCUCUCACUAUUGGAGCGGCCGAUAUCGGAUUAGCUGGUUGGUGGGGUAAAGGCCUACCAAGGCGACGAUCCGUAGCUGGUUUGAGAGGACGACCAGCCACACUGGGACUGAGACACGGCCCAGACUCCUACGGGAGGCAGCAGUGGGGAAUUUUGGACAACAGGGGCAACCCUGAUCCAGCCAUCCCGCGUGUGCGAUGAAGGCCUU
rnacentral:rRNA from 1 species